UUUGGUUUGGUUUAUAGCAAUAAAAAUCUACUUGACCGGAGGGAGCCCUGCAAUAGUCCCUUGUUUUCAAAAGUAUUCCCCACAAUAAGUACAUGACUUUCACAACUUGAGACAGAGUCUCUCUCAUGAUAGCACCGAGACGCUUUCUGAGAGAAAGACAGCUCACCAUGGAAGCAAAAGAGUUUCCAUCUGCCAAGAUAAUGAAAUGGGCGGCUGGUAUAUUUUGCCCAAGCUUUCUUACUGUUGUUCAUCAAACACUUGUUAAUAUCUUCCGCCUUUCGUUUGCUUUGUCCUCCACAAUUAGUCGGCGUUGAAUAAUGAACCAAUGAUUUGUAGCCA